CGUGUAGGCGGUCGGAUAAGUCAGAUGUGAAAGCCUUCCGCUUAACGGAAGAAGUGCAUUUGAAACUGUUCGGCUAGAGUACGGGAGAGGAGAGUGGAAUUCCCGGUGUAGAGGUGAAAUUCGUAGAUAUCGGGAGGAACACCAGUGGCGAAGGCGGCUCUCUGGUCCGAUACUGACGCUGAGACGCGAAAGCGUGGGGAGCAAACAGGAUUAGAUACCCUGGUAGUCCACGCCGUAAACGAUGGGCACUAGGUGUAGGAGGUAUUGACCCCUUCUGUGCCGAAGCUAACGCAUUAAGUGCCCCGCCUGGGGAGUACGGCCGCAAGGCUAAA
rnacentral:rRNA from 1 species